rnacentral:rRNA from 1 species
UGAGUACGAGAUGCUACGGCAUCGAAGCAGUCUAUGUCAUACUUCCAAGAAAAGCUUGCACUGUCAGAAACAGAUAAUGCCUGUACCAUAACCGACACAGGUGGGUAGGUAGAGUAUACUAAGGGGCGCGAGAUAACUCUCUCUAAGGAACUCGGCAAAAUGACUCCGUAACUUCGGGAGAAGGAGUGCCUUAUUUUUAAGGUUGCAAUAACAAGAUCCAAGCAACUGUUUACCAAAACACAGGUCUCCGCUAAGUCGUAAGACGAUGUAUGGGGGCUGACGCCUGCCCAGUGCCAGAAGGUUAAAGAAGUCGGUUAGCAUUUGCGAAGCUGGUAACUGAAGCCCUGGUGAACGGCGGCCGUAACUAUAACGGUCCUAAGGUAGCGAAAUUCCUUGUCGGGUAAGUUCCGACCCGCACGAAAGGCGUAAUGAUUUGGACACUGUCUCGGAGAGGGGCUCGGUGAAAUAGACUUGUCUGUGAAGAUGCGGACUACCUGCACCUGGACAGAAAGACCCUAUGAAGCUUUACUGUAACUUGAAAUUGAAAUUGGACUUUAUUUGCGCAGUAUAGGUGGGAGGCGUUGAAAAUAUUCUUGCGGGAAUAUUGGAGCCAUCAGUGAGAUACCACUCUUGUAAUGUUAGAUUUCUAACUUUAUAUCAUUAUCUGGUUAAAGAACAGUUUCAGGCGGGCAGUUUGACUGGGGCGGUCGCCUCCCAAAUGGUAACGGAGGCGCACAAAGGUUUCCUCUGAACGGGUAGAAAUCGUAUCUAGAGUGUAAAGGCAUAAGGAAGCUUGACUGUGAGACCUACAAGUCGAGCAGGGACGAAAGUCGGUCUUAGUGAUCUGACGGUGCUGAGUGGAAAGGCCGUCACUCAACGGAUAAAAGUUACUCUAAGGAUAACAGGCUGAUCUCCCCCAAGAGUUCACAUCGACGGGGAGGUUUGGCACCUCGAUGUCGGCUCAUCGCAUCCUGGGGCGGUAGUACGUCCCAAGGGUUGGGCUGUUCGCCCAUGAAAGCGGUACGCGAGCUGGGUUCAGAACGUCGUGAGACAGUUCGGUCCAUAUCCGGUGUAGGCGUUAGAAUAUUGAGAGGAGCCUUCUUUAGUACGAGAGGACCGAGAAGGACAUACCUCUGGUGUACCAGUUAUCGUGCCAACGGUAAACGCUGGGUAGCUAUGUAUGGAGUGGAUAACCGCUGAAAGCAUCUAAGUGGGAAGCCCACCUCAAGAUAAGUAUUCUCAUC